rnacentral:pre_miRNA from 8 species
UUCCGGCCCCACCUCCUUCUCCUCUCAGGGAAGCUUUUUGCUCGAAUUAUGUUUCUGAUCCGAAUAUAAGACGAACAAAAGGUUUGUCUGAGGGCAGAGUGCUUCCGUCUGGGGCAG